rnacentral:rRNA from 1 species
UACGUAGGCAGCAAGCGUUGUUCGGAGUUACUGGGCGUAAAGGGUGCGUAGGCUGCUUUUUAAGUUUGGUGUGAAAUCUCCCGGCUCAACUGGGGGGGGUGCGCCGAAUACUGAGAGGCUAGAGUGUGGGAGAGGAAAGUGGAAUUCCUGGUGUAGCGGUGAAAUGCGUAGAUAUCAGGAGGAACACCGGUGGCGAAAGCGGCUCACUGGACCACAACUGACGCUGAGGCGCGAAAGCGUGGGGAGCAAACAGG